GGAACAUAUUGCCCUGUUGAGAUCAGAGAUCACUUCUGUUGUGAGCAGAGACGAGCGAGCAGACAAUCAACUAACAGUGAAGACUUUUUUAAUUCGUCUUUUUCAUCUACUUCAUUCCUCAUCGGACCAUGAAGACACGGAGAAACAGCAGAGGAUACGAGGAACGUUAUUGGGAAGGUCGGCACCUGAAGCUGAGAGAUUUGAAAGAGGAAGCAAAGAACACAUACCUCAACAAAGAAAAUAUUCCUGCAUGUCCCCGACCAGAGUUUCAUGUGUCUCAGCUGAAACAUGACACAGACGAAGCUGGAUUAAAUGGCAUCAGGGGUGAUAACGGCUUCAAGAACCCACAUGGAGGCUCUCUGGUGUGGUGGAGUCUGGCUGUGGAGCCUGAUGACAUCAUAUCAGCUGAGAGGAGGCUCCUGGAGACGACCUACCCUGACUGGACGCAGGAGCAGGUCCAGAUGCAGCAGAGCUUCCUGGGGAAGUUUGCCACCUCCCCGGCCUUCUCCGAGCUCUCCAGGAUGGGCUCGUACCGCUUCACCUUCCCCCUGGAGGAGCUGCUGGAGGCCUACAGCCAGCAGUUUUGCUCUGGCGCUCAGCCCGUCAUGCGUGUCUAUGAGACCGUCCUGUACAGCCAGCAGGUGAUGUAUGUUAUACUGGUCCACAGCCCAGCCAAUCAGCAGCUGUUCUCAGAUCGUCCUCUGCUGACUGACGACCCAAACUCUGUCUGCUCCUACAAAGAUGGGCGCUUCAUCUGGAGGCCUGAGGCCAUGUGUGAGACACACAGCUAUGAGUUGGUCCUGAGACCUGAUGAAAAGCAGAUGGAAGCGAGGGAGGUGAAGCCGUCUCGCAAAGAGUUUUAUGUUUGGGAUCAUGUUGCUGUCGCCCUGCAUGUGGGCAGACAGGUACCUUUAUUUAUUUAUUAUUUAUUUCAGUCUAGUUCUCAGUAUUUCACUUAAAAGUGAUGAUUUUGUUUAAAAGUGAUGGGGAGGGAAUAUUUUUUUAUUGAAGGAAGUAAAAAACUAAAUAAGCUUCAGUUAUUAACUUUUUGUUCAAUUAGAUUUAUUUCACUGGUUAUCUGUGAUAAUACAAAUACAAUUCAUUGUCAUAUGUUUUGUGUUGUAUAAUGCGUCCGUUGUCUCCGAGCUGAGAGGAGGUGAGAACAUGUCGGUUCAGCUCCACUUCCAAUGUUACUUUAUGCUGUUUACAAGCUUCAUUAUCAGAAGGCAGGUCAGCUCAGUUUGUGUGUUAUGAACAUUAAAACAGCCUCUGCUCCUGGAGCUCUGACGAGUGGACGGACUGCUGAACCAAACUCCUUCAUCACUGCUCGUCAUCUUCUUCUCUGUUUCUGUUUAAGGUGCUGAAGUUUGAUCCUGCCUGACUGAGACAGAACCUCAAGUACUGUGAAAAAGCAACACCUUCAAUUGUGGAUGAAUCCAAAUUUCAGGACUUCCCACAAGCUGAAGAGUUAGUCAGGGAAUUGUGGCCUGACGACUCGUCACCACUGGAGAGAGCUGAGCCGCUAAAUAAAGUGAAAAGUGAAAAAUGAAAUCUGUCGUCUGUCAGCAUGAAGAUGUACAGAAGCUACAACAAUAACAACAACUAUAAUAAUGAAAUAUGAAUAUUAGAAAUACUAACAGCUGUAAAACAACUAUAGUCCAAAUAUGACCAGUAAAAACAAUAAUGACAAUAAUUAUAAUAAUUAAUCCAGAACUCAUUACUCACCAAAAAUAUUCAGUUGUGGUUUGUAGAUUGCUGUAGUUGUGGUUAGUUUGUCUUUUAGCCCUAAAUAUCUUUCAUGCUAUUUCAUUUCUGAGGUCACUUCACUAUUAACUUGGCUGUUCCUCCUCCAGAGGUGCUGAAGUCACCUCAUUAACAUCCUAACAGGAUAGAUUACAUGAGAGUAAUUAUCAUGACACCUACAGACAGGGAGGAUCGCUUUUUCUUUUCUCCUGUUUUGUUAUCGGCCUUUUGUUGCUUCUGUUUUUGGACUCUGGAUUCUGUGGGCUUGUUUUAUGGCUUCAUUUAAUAAAGGUAAAGCUUUUUGUUCCUCACCUUCCUGCAUGUGUUUCUUCUGUUUGGGUCCUUAUUUGUGUGAACAUUGUGAAUGUUUGUUAAAUUGAAUUAAAAAGUCAAACAUUCACUCGUUGUCUUCAUGAGCAGAUCAUAAUAUUACAUAUUAAACAUGUUGUGAUGUGACAGUUGGCUGAAAUGUUUUAAUGUGAGGAUUUACACAACAAACGUCAUGAUAAACACAUCUUAGAGCUCAUUAGAAAAGCUCC
ensembl:lncRNA